AUCAACUUUCGAUGGUAGGAUAGAGGCCUACCAUGGUGGUAACGGGUAACGGGGUGUUAGGGCACAACACCGGAGAGGGAGCCUGAGAAACGGCUACCACAUCCAAGGAUGGCAGCAGGCGCGCAAAUUACCCAAUCCCGACACGGGGAGGUAGUGACAAUAAAUAACAAUACGGGGUUCUUUAGGAUCUCGUAAUUGGAAUGAGUACAAUUUAAAUCUCUUAACGAGGAACAAUUGGAGGGCAAGUCUGGUGCCAGCAGCCGCGGUAAUUCCAGCUCCAAUAGCGUAUAUUAAAGUUGUUGCAGUUAAAAAGCUCGUAGUUGAAUUUCGGGGUUAGUAGGUUGGUCAUGCCUCUGGUAUGUACUGGUCUCACUGAUUCCUCCUUCCUGAUGAGCCGUAAUGCCAUUAAUUUGGUGUUGAGGGGAAUUUGGACUGUUACUUUGAAAAAAUUAGAGUGUUUAAAGCAAGCUAACGCUUGAAUACAUUAGCAUGGAAUAAUGAAGUAGGACGUUCGAUCCUAUUUUGUUGGUUUCUAGGAUUGACGUAAUGAUUAAUAGGGAUAGUUGGGGGCAUUAGCAUUCAAUUGUCAGAGGUGAAAUUCUUGGAUUUAUUGAAGACUAACUACUGCGAAAGCAUUUGCCAAGGAUGUUUUCAUUAAUCAAGAACGAAAGUUAGGGGAUCGAAGACGAUCAGAUACCGUCGUAGUCUUAACCAUAAACUAUGCCGACUAGGGAUCGGAUGAUGUUAAUUUUUUAAUGACUCGUUCGGCGCCUUACGGGAAACCAAAGUGUUUGGGUUC
rnacentral:rRNA from 1 species